rnacentral:tRNA from 1 species
GUUGUUGUAGUAUAGUGGUGAGUAUUUCCGCCUGUCACGCGGACGACCCGGGUUCGAUCCCUGGCAACGGCG